rnacentral:rRNA from 1 species
UACGAGGGGGGCAAGCGUUGUUCGGAAUUACUGGGCGUAAAGAGCGCGUAGGUGGCGCGAUACGACCGGCGUGAAAUCCUCCGGCUCAACUGGAGGGGGUCACUGGUAACGGUCGUGCUAAUGAGUGCAGGAGAGGGACGUGGAACUCCGGGAGUAGCGGUGAAAUGCGUAGAGACCCGGAGGAACACCAGUGGCGAAGGCGGCGUCCUGGCCUGCGACUGACGCUGUGGCGCGAAAGCUAGGGGAGCGAACGGG